rnacentral:rRNA from 1 species
GACGAACGCUGGCGGCGUGCUUAACACAUGCAAGUCGAACGGAAAGGCCUCUUUCGGGGGGUACUCGAGUGGCGAACGGGUGAGUAACACGUGAGUAACCUGCCCUCGACUUUGGGAUAACUUCAGGAAACUGGGGCUGAUACCGGAUAGGAGCUCCUGCUGCAUGGUGGGGGUUGGAAAGUUUCGGCGGUUGGGGAUGGACUCGCGGCUUAUCAGCUUGUUGGUGGGGUAGUGGCUUACCAAGGCUUUGACGGGUAGCCGGCCUGAGAGGGUGACCGGCCACAUUGGGACUGAGAUACGGCCCAGACUCCUACGGGAGGCAGCAGUGGGGAAUAUUGCACAAUGGGUGGAAGCCUGAUGCAGCAACGCCGUGUGCGGGAUGACGGCCUUCGGGUUGUAAACCGCUUUCGCUCAUGACGAAGCUUUGUGUGACGGUAGUGGGUAAAGAAGCACCGGCUAACUACGUG